rnacentral:rRNA from 1 species
GAAAUGCGAUAAGUAAUGUGAAUUGCAGAAUUCAGUGAAUCAUCGAAUCUUUGAACGCAUCUUGCGCUCCUUGGUAUUCCGAGGAGCAUGCCUGUUUGAGUGUCAUUUAAAUUCUCAAACCACAUUUUGUGAUGUGGAUUUGGAUGUGGGGGAAUGUUUUGCAGGCGACCUUUGGAAGUCUGCUCCCCUGAAAUGCAUUAGUGGUAUCUGAGCCUUCAGGUGUGAUAAAUUUAUCUAUGCCUGCUUGCAUUGAACAGAUUGCACCGCUUCCAACAAACUUUUCUUUUUUUUAAAGACCUCAAAUCAGGUAGGACUACCCGCUGAACUUAAGCAUAUCAAUAAGCGGAGGAAAAGAAACUAACAAGGAUUCCCCUAGU